rnacentral:rRNA from 1 species
UACGUAGGGGGCGAGCGUUGUCCGGAUUCAUUGGGCGUAAAGCGCUUUAAGGCGGUUCGGUAAGUCGCGUGUGAAAGCCCCCGGCUCAACUGGGGAGGUCACGCGAUACUGGUCGACUCGAAGGCAGGAGAGGGUAGUGGAAUUCCCGGUGUAGUGGUGAAAUGCGUAGAUAUCGGGAGGAACACCAGUGGCGAAGGCGACUACCUGGCCUGUUCUUGACGCUGAGGCGCGAAAAGCUAGGGGAGCAACGGGG